rnacentral:rRNA from 1 species
GGACAACCGUCCGAAAGGAUGGCUAAUACCGCAUAAGACCUGAGGGUGAAAGCCGGGGACCGCAAGGCCCGGCGCAGACGGAGCGGCCGAUGAUUGAUUAGCUAGUUGGGGAGGUAAAGGCUCACCAAGGCGACGAUCAAUAGCUGGUCUGAGAGGACGACCAGCCACACUGGAACUGAGACACGGUCCAGACUCCUACGGGAGGCAGCAGUGGGGAAUUUUGGACAAUGGGGGCAACCCUGAUCCAGCCAUGCCGCGUGCGGGAAGAAGGCCUUCGGGUUGUAAACCGCUUUUGUCAGGGACGAAAAGCUCCGGAGUAAUAUGCCGGAGUGCUGACGGUACCUGAAGAAUAAGCACCGGCUAACUACGUGCCAGCAGCCGCGGUAAUACGUAGGGUGCAAGCGUUAAUCGGAAUUACUGGGCGUAAAGCGUGCGCAGGCGGUUGGGUAAGACAGAUGUGAAAUCCCCGGGCUUAACCUGGGAACUGCAUUUGUGACUGUCCGACUGGAGUACGUCAGAGGGGGGUGGAAUUCCACGUGUAGCAGUGAAAUGCGUAGAUAUGUGGAAGAACACCGAUGGCGAAGGCAGCCCCCUGGGACGCAACUGACGCUCAUGCACGAAAGCGUGGGGAGCAAACAGGAUUAGAUACCCUGGUAGUCCACGCCCUAAACGAUGUCUGCUGGUUGUUGGGAAUUUAAUUCUCAGUAACGAAG